rnacentral:rRNA from 1 species
UACGUAGGGCGCAAGCGUUAUCCGGAAUUAUUGGGCGUAAAGAGCUCGUAGGCGGUUUGUCGCGUCUGCCGUGAAAGUCCGGGGCUCAACUCCGGAUCUGCGGUGGGUACGGGCAGACUAGAGUGAUGUAGGGGAGACUGGAAUUCCUGGUGUAGCGGUGGAAUGCGCAGAUAUCAGGAGGAACACCGAUGGCGAAGGCAGGUCUCUGGGCAUUAACUGACGCUGAGGAGCGAAAGCGUGGGGAGCGAACAGG